UACGUAGGGUGCAAGCGUUGUCCGGAAUUAUUGGGCGUAAAGAGCUCGUAGGCGGUCUGUCGCGUCGGCUGUGAAAACCCGGAGCUCAACUCCGGGCCUGCAGUCGAUACGGGCAAACUGGAGUGUUGCAGGGGAGACUGGAAUUCCUGGUGUAGCGGUGAAAUGCGCAGAUAUCGAGAGGAACACCUGCGGCGAAGGCGGGUUGCUGGGCUGACACUGACGCUGAUGUGCGAAAGCUAGGGGAGCGAACGGG
rnacentral:rRNA from 1 species